rnacentral:tRNA from 1 species
GCCUUGGUAGCUUAGUCGGUAGAGCACUGCAUUGGUAAUGCAGAGGUCGCGAGUUCGAUUCUCGUCCAAGGCU